GGAAUUUACCCGGGGAGCACUUAGGGACUCUUGUCGCUUUUGUGAGUCGUUUGUAAAAUGCAGUAAGUGUUUCUGUAAAGCGCUCUGAGACUUUACUGCGCUCCGGUCACAUCUGGCCGUCUGAAGGAGAGGCCGUAAAAGCAGCUCUCUUAAUUAGUCGGUAGGUAGAGUGGGAGAGUGACCACCUUCCCGUCUGUCCACGCGCAACCUCCAAGGUCAACGUUUGAAGUCCCCCCCGAGGAGACUUCAGCUCAAAUUUGGACAAAUUAUCAAGACGUUUGAACGAGAAGGACGGAAUUAUGCCGUUCCCACGAGAUCCCGCGCUUGUGGAAAGUAACGCAGCAAUAUGUAGAGGAACUUUAUCUUAUUGGGUCUGUAUUGCAAUUGUCAUUGCACAUCAACACGUUUCAGGUCGAGAAAGACCGUGAAACCCGAGUAGUCCGAGAGGCGAAGGAGUGAGAGGAGAGAGGGAAAAAAAGAAAAGAAUCCCAAAUCAAGUUUUCCUGAAGAGAAAAAAAACCUCGCCGCCAUCUGGACGAGCUUCACCUCCAUAUCAACUGAUCUGUGGACCCACGGCAGAAAGCAGGAGAUCGAUGGAGCCAGAGACAUGUUUGAACUGAAGGCCCAACAACAUGCUCGGCCCGGGCCUCCAGCAGCGCACGAGAUGAGACGAGACCGCCGGGUUCUACACGUCCCACCAGAGAGCUGGCUGCAAGUCGAAAAGCGCCACAGGAGCCAGAUUCAGGAGGCCCCCGAAGGAGCUUUGCCCUGACGGCUCAGCCUCACGAUGGACCAACUGGCAGUGUGUUCUUUUCUAUCAACACGCAGACGGUGAUAACACACGCGCGUGUCCCCUCGGACAGUCCGCGAUCACCCUCGUUACACGG
ensembl:lncRNA